CUCUGAGCUGUCAAUUAACCUAUGUGUCUGUAUCUUUCUUAUCUACUAACUUAAAAUGCUCAUCUAUUAUUGAUCCUCACCCAGCGUUAUCCCUGAACGAUGGUACUUUCAACCUACAUCUACCCUUCUAAACAGCUGUGGAGUAUGCUUUACAGAGCAUUUUCAAUUCUCCAUUCGUUUCUAUAAAUUUAACAAUCCUGGAAUCAGUUUAACAUCUUCACCUUCUGCUUCAGACCUUUUAAAGCUAGAGACAUAUGAACAACCAAAAUCAUCUUCAGUUUCAGCAGGUCAGGUAUUGGACCAUGAAGCCAAAUUAGCUAAGCUGGAAUCUGAGUUUGGAAAGGUCAGUCAUGAUUACUCAACAGAGGAAAUUGGUGAUUGGGAAUUUGAUGAGCUUCAAAGAUAAUUGGAUUCUGGAAAUUCAGCAACAAGUAAUUAGUUGACACAUUGCAAUGCUUGCUAUUGUAUUUAUUAUGAAGCAAUUGCAAAUAUUAUUUAAAUUUGUAAGCUAUAGUUGGGCUGUUAAUGAAGCUGUAAUUUGGAUCAAAAAAAUAAAUUUAACAUGUUUGAUGCAGAUGCAGUUAUCAUGCGUUUUUGCUAUUAGUGCAUGAUGUGGUUGUGGACUUUUCACUGCCACUGAACCGAGAUGUAUGCAAUCUGCAAAAUUAAUGCUUUAAUUCUUACAAAAUUACCUUAAUUCCUGAUUAUUAGGUGGUGAAAUUCAUUCUUUUUGUGGAUUUUGGUUGAGAAUAUACAGAACAUUGUUAGAAUGAGAGCAUCAGAUGAACAGAAUGAGAACUUAUACUUUAGUCAAUUACAAUUGACUAUUUUAUCAUUUGAUUUUAUUUCUCUCUGCAGAACAAGAGUGCUUCCUUUAUUUUUGUGAUGUUUUCUUGGCUUUUUUAUGAGCUGAUAUGUGUUGCAAUGUUUUUCUUUCUUCACUUUUCUUUUCUUGAUGAAAGUGGAUCUGAUUUGUAAUCUUUCAGGUUAUAUAAUUGAAGGCUGUUUUUAGUAAAAUUAGUAAUUAAUAAUUAGAGUAGAUAUAAGUAUAACAUCAUUUAUAUUAGUUCAUGAAUAAUGUGAUCCAUGUUAAAGGUUGUGUUUAGUCCAUCAAAUCAGUUCCUGUAUUUGAAUUUUACCAGUCUAAUUAAUGCUAAAUUACUUGACACUAAGACCAACAUAAUAUAAAAUCUAGAGGUUUAGGAUUAAUUUUAAUUGUUCAGGAAAUUACAAUUGACGCUAUAGUUUUGCAGUGAUUGAUUUGAUGUUUAACUGCUUCUAAUCUUUAAUUAAAUGUCUUUUGCAUCUAAUGUUGAAAUGUUAACUCAUAUGAAGAUUUGAAUGUGUCACCAUUGGAGUUGGGUUUCCAACUCCAUGCAAACCCUUCAUCUACUGGGCUUUCCUUUCUCUCAUUGUUUUUGCCAAUCUUAGCACUAGCAUUCAAUUUUAUCUUCCAGGAACUUAAAUGCACACAUAUUCCGAUGGUUGCUUCUCAUUGAACUAAAAGCAUUUUGAGAAGACCACUUUCUGUGAAUGCUUCUUACAGUGGAUGCUUCAAGUCCUGGUGCCAUAAGUUACAUGGAUUGCAUAGGAAAGGACAAAUAUGGUGAAGAGACGAAGAAAAACUUUAAACUUGCUGGUGAAAAUGAAAUGAAUAGAUGUCAUUUAUUAAAUGAGUAUCAAAAAAUCUCAAGAAAUUGGUCAUCAGUGGUCAUAAUUCACUACAACUUGAACAAAUUUGGUAAAUCCGUCCUUAUUCAAAUAGUACCGGAAACACAUAGUUCAGUACUUAACAGCUGAUAUGACAAAUAACAACAAUAGAUAUUAGAUAAUUCAUCUUAAUUUCGGUGCUUUUGUAAUACUUCUGAAUUCAAACAUAAUUCUUUGGGUUGGAUACAUGUAAGUGCUCCAUUAUCUUUGGCCACAUGUAAUGUAAUUUUUAUGUUCUUGAGUAACUUAUUAUUAUAUCCUGUGUGGUGUCAGCAUCAAACUAACUAUGUAGUAGUGAUUUUUCUUCUCAUAUACCUCCUAAAGUCAAUACAUUUCUACUUUCGAAAAAAAAAAAUACCUCAUAACGUCAAGGCUUCUGAGAUUCUAAUAAAAGUAGUGGCCUAUGGACUUAGCUACCUUAUGUUGUUGUCAUGUUUAUACAGUACUAAGGUGAACUUAGCUAACUUACUCGGUUGAGUUAGAACACAGACCUUUAGCUUCAAAUGCUUAUCAUUGUAAUGGUGCUAAUAGUCUGUUUGGUUUCAUAAUUAGAUAACUUUCUUUCUUAAUAAAAAAAAUAGAAGUAAAAAACUUUUAUUUCGAAUGGUCUUCCUCUCUAGCUCUGUUAUGAUUAAGACAUAUCAUCUUGUGUUGACUGCUAAUGCUUAAUAUUCCAAGUAUUUUCUAACCUUCUAUGAAGCUAAUAAGCUGACCAUAGGUUUGUAUUUUUGACAGGUUUUUUUUUUUUUGUUUAAAGUGACUUAAUAUUUAUUCUCUACUCACUCUGAAAAGUGAGGUGCUCCGCACUACCCUCUCCCUCUCAGGGUAUCAACGUCAUUCGUCAAUAUAUACUAUCUUUAUUAUCCUUCAACAGUGAACAUAAUUCAUGUUCAAUCUUAAUGAAGAAGUAUAGUGUCCAUCCAAUACCGGGUCUAAGGAUGUUGGGCUCUUACAAGACGUUUGAUCUUCAUUUAUUCUUAUAAUAUAAGAAUUAUAUAGAAAAAUAUCAACUAAUUAUCUCUUAUCAUUAAAAUUUUAACAAUGCCCAUAAAUUAUUAAUUUAAUCAUAAAGUUUUGUAUUACUAUUAAGUAAUUUUAAAAUACAAUUUACAAUACGUAGUUUUAAAGAGUGGUAAAUAACUACAUGGUUGGCAAAUACUUUCAUUUAAUUUUUUUUUUGUCAAGCAAUUUAUCUAGAUUUUUUUUUUGAGUUUCGUGUUAAUUAUUUUAUUUAAAAUUCUACAUAAAUGAUUUUUACUCUUAAAAAUUUCGCCAAAAUAUUAGUUAUGGCCUCAUGAUAUAAAAUUUAUAAUGAUAACUAAAUCCAUGUGAUAGUAAAUUCAAAUUGUGUAACCAAAAAAAUUCAAAUUUUGUAAUAUAAUUAUAAUUGUAAAAGUUUUUUUUAUUCUACUAUAUAUUGAUCUAAACUUGAAAUUCAUGAGUUGGGGUGGGGAAGUUCAUGGUUCAAUCACUAGAGGAGGUAAUUUAUCUUUCUGAUCUACCCAAAAGAACUUCAAAUUGAAAAAUGACACAAGUAUUUCAUAUGGUGUUUUUUAUUUGUAUUGGUAUCAAAUCUUUAUCGUCAAAUGACAUAUCUAAUGGAUAAAUAAUAUUAUUUAUAUUUCGGUGCAUUACCAAAAAAUCUUAUCGAUGUAAACUUUUUAUCAUCGGUGUAAGUGGAGUCUUGAGGCAUAAACUAAAAAUAAUAACAUUAUUAUAAAAUAAUUAUAAUAACACUUUAAAAAUCUUACAAUCGUUUAUAUAUAUAUAUCUGUAAUAUUUAGAUAUUAAAAUUUAAAAUUAUAGUAGUAAAGAUAACAAUUAAAAUGAGUAAAACAUGUAACUUAUUUAAUUCAUUUUAAUAAAUUAUAAAAUAUUUCUCCGUGCAUCGCGCGGGUAUAAUCCUAGUUCUAACACAAACAAUGUUAAUGUACGUGCAUGCUAUAGUUAGGAAACCAAUACAAAGUCACAAAGAUAAAGAAGAUAAGAAUAAUAGAGAGGGAGCUGGAAAAGCAGACACAGCUACAAGAGACAAUUACCAAACCUACACCCCCACAAAAGACACCCAAAAUCAGCCCAAUCACAUGCACCAAAGAGUAUCGAGAUAGCAUGCAGGACCUGCAUCUGGGUAAGGCCAGAUUACGAAGGCAUACCACACCACAAAGCUCUUUCCUUCUCAUGAGACAACAGAGCAUACCAGAAGAAACAUCCAAAUACAAGUUAGUUAAAGUCAGAGACAAAAUAACUUGUGAGUAAAGGAAAUCGAAUUCAGCUGAGAAUCACAUUCUUCAACAUUGAGUCACUCUAAAUCCACCAGCUAGCUAGAUCAAAGUAGUAAGUAUGAGCUAGGAACCAACCCACAAGCAAAGUUGCUAUUCAUUUUUUUACUAAAUGUGGCACUACAAAAAAACGUGCUUUUAGUGGCACAAUAUUUGUGGCAUUUACCAAAAAAUGCCACAAACUUAUAUUACUUUGGCACACUAAUUUAAAAACGCAUUCCUAGCUAAUUAGCAGCAAUUUGGUAGUAAUUUACUAAAGCUUAUAUUACUCUGGCAUUUAAGUAGAAUGCCACUAAUUUAAAAACGCAUUCCUAGCUAAUUAGCAGCUAUUUGGUAGCAAUUUUCUGAAGUGGCACUUAACUCAAAUGCCACAAAUAACCCUUUUCAAUUUUAAUAUUAAUUUUUUUUUAACUUUCACUCACACAGUUUUUCAGAUUUUUAAACCAAAAAGAAAAAAGAAAUAUCUCUUUCAGCUUUUCUUCCGAUUCAUCGUCGUCCUCAGUCAUGAUCACCACAUCGCACCAGAGCGACCACAAAACAAAAAUUCCAAUCCUAUCCCCAUGUUUCAAUCGCAUUCAUCAUCCCCAAUCCACUGAACCCUAUUCAAAGCAGCCAUUGACGAUCGCUCCGAGUUCGCUCACCAACAUCACCAUCCUCAUCUCUCAAUUCUGAUGCUGUCGAUGUUGCUGUGAACAAUCAGAAGAAGAAGAAGAAACAACAACGCUGCAAGUGCUCAGAAACUCGAUGUCGAUAACCGAAUCGCUCUCUGUUUCUACUUCCGGAUCGCCGAUAACAUCCUCCGUCAAGCUCUAUCACCACAUCGCAUCAGAGCGACCAUCGCUCCAUCUCCAUCGCAGCCACACUCCACCGCAAGCAGCUGUGCUUCCAGAUCCAGCAAAUUCUCCUGGUUCACGAUACUCACCGGAGAAGAAACCCUAGAUCCGCGAUGCUACAUGUCCGACACCUCCAGAAUUCCACUCCGGCUAUCACCAGGUGGCGCAACAAGCUCGAGAGGUCGCGUUUCUUGCCUUUCUUCUUCUGAUUCGAUCUUGUUUCUUACCCGCAGGUACACUGAAUUGGAAAUUGCGGUGUCGGAGAUAGGAAUUGUAGGGCUGAACGCGGAGAAUUUAGGGAUUGGAGGUGUUUGGGUUGACAGUGAUCCCAUACUACCGGCAUCAACCUCAGUAGUUGGAGGAUGGAUAAAGCAGGUUGAUAAGGGAUAUUGAAAGUGACUCAGUCUUGAGGCUCAAUCACUACCCACCUAAUACCUAUACAUAACAGCAACAAUAGGGAAGACAAGUCACCCCCCUACAACAACAAGGUUGGGUUUGGGGAGCAUUCUGACCCUCAAAUCUUGACCAUUCUCAGAUCCAAUGACGUGUGUGGCCUCCAAAUCUCUCUUCAAGAAGGGGUGUGGAUCCCAGUCAAGCCUGACCCUGAGGCUUUCUGUGUUAACGUAGGUGAUGUACUAGAGGACAAUGCCAAUGCUAAUGAUGAACCGGUUGAAACUGCUGAUCAUGCAAAGGGAUUUCACUAAUGUUAGUGAGGGUCAAUUGAUGACAAUAUAGAUACAAUGAGGCAUAUAUGUAGUUUGUGGCAUUUAAAAAAAUGCCAGUUUCAAUUUGUGGCAUUUAGAAGAUGCCAGAAGCAUUUGUGGCAUACAAAAACCGGCAUUUAAGCAAAAAAUGCCACAAAACAGUUGUGGCACCUGUAAUAGAGGCACUUAAAGGUGAAUGCCACUAAUCACACUUGGGGCAUUUAAUAAAUGCCACAACUUAACAAUAUCAAUGCCACUAAAAAUACAUUUUUUUGUAGUGUGGGUAGAUAUUUCUCAUUCAAACAUUUUUCUUUCGGUUACUACUCCAUCUUUCUAGUAAUUUAUUACACAAUAAAAUUUUUUUGACUAAA